GCGGCCCCGGCGUGCGGCGGGCAGGCGAUACCAAGUGUGGGGAAGGGAGGGGUUCUCCGCGAGCGGGACGCCCACUCCGCGCUGUGUCGGCGCACCCCGCCCCGCGGCCACCCCUCCGGUGACUGCGCUGUGAGGGGCGACCUCGGCGCGGGGGCGGGGCCGGCCUUGCGGCGCUGGGCCUUUGAGUGGAAGGCGGGAAAUGGCGGAGGCUUCAGGCCGCGGCGCGGGGAAGCCCUCUGCAUCCGGGCCUGGUACCCCCGGCGGCUCCAGGGCCAGAGGGAAAAGGGCACAAGGUGGGAGAGUAGUGGAGUCCCGCUACCUGCAGUACGAGCGGAAGGCAGCCAGAAAGGCUCCUGCCGCGGACGCUGCUGUCAGAGCUGGCGGGAAGGUGGCGGAGGGCGUGAGGAGAGCCAGCCAGCUGCCCAAGGGCUCAGAUGGCAGUGGUGUGGGCCAGGGCGACCUGCAGUCCACCUUGCUGGAGGGGCACGGCACUGCACCGCCCGACCUGGACCUCUCAGCCAUCAACGACAAAAGCAUGGUCAGGAAGACACCUCAGUUAGAGAAGACGCUGUCACGGAAGCCUAAGGCGACAUCCUUCACGGCCCCGCCGAGGAAGAGCCCGGACUCCCUGGAGGUGGUGGAGGUGGUGGUGUCCCAGACGUUACUGCUGACCCUGCUGACGGUGCAGAUGGAGAACGGGCUGGCACGGCUGGAGGAGAAGGCGGAACGGAGCCUGCUCGCCAUGUGCCGGGAGCAGGCCCGGCUGCAGCAGAAGGCCCACGAGCUGAGGCGCGAGCUGCUGCUCCGGCAGAGGCGCCGGGAGCUGGGAGGCAUACUGGACGCCCAGGUGGAGACACUGCGCCCCUUUGAGGCGGUGGCUGGGCGCUUCCAGGAGCGGUACAGGACGCUGGCCACAGCCCUGGACACCACCCGGCACGAGCUGCCCGUGAGCGCCAUCCACCUGGAACGCGACGGCCGGCAGCUGCUCGGUAGGGUGAAGGCCGCUCACAUGCCCUGGAGCCCGGGCGGGCGGGUGGGCAAGACCGCAGGAAUGAGAUGGCAGCCAGGCGUGGGGCGGGCGGGUGUCCUGGCCUGCUGCAGGCGCUAGGCCCCUGAGCCUGAUACCCGUCCUCCCCAGACAGCCUGCAAGCCGAGCUGACAACCACCCAGCGCCUUCUGGCUGAGCUGGGCCUGGGCGACAGCGAGGAGCAUGGGCAGGUGCUGGCCCUGUUGGCCGAGCUCAGGGACGUGACCACGCAGAAGGACCACGAGCUCCGGAGGUGGCCGUGACACUGGGACGGGGGUGGCUCCGCUCCCAGGGCAGAGGGGCAGCCAGCAGGGGUCACUGUCACAUGGUAGCCCAGAGAGUGCAUGGUCCCAAGCA
rnacentral:lncRNA from 1 species